GUAGUAGCAAAUAUUCAAUAGAGAACAUUGAAGACUGAAGUGGAGAAAGGUUUCACAUGAACAACACUUGGAUGUGAGUUAGUCGAUCCUAAACGGUGGGUUAACUCCAAAUACAUGAAUACUUGUAUUCUGUACCGUGAAAGGGAAACAGGUUAAUAUUCCUGUACUAUAUCAAGGAGGUAAAAUGGUAACAUAAAUGAACUCAAAUACAUCAGUAGAAUAACCAGGAAGAGUUCUCUUUUCUUUUUAACGACUUUCCCGCAAGGGAUGUAUAAUGACCAUGGAAUCAAUUUAGUUGGAGAAAUGGUUAAAGAGUCGGUAGAGUAAAUCAAUUUCUGAUUUAUCUGGUUAGGUUCUAAUGGUACAUAAAAAUUUGAGGGAAUGAUCUUACUUGAAUAGUCGUACUCAU
rnacentral:rRNA from 1 species